rnacentral:sRNA from 1 species
GCCAGGCAUGGUGGCACACGCCUGUAAUCCUAGCAGCUCUGGAGGCUGAGGCAGGAAGAUUGUGAGUUCAAAGCCAGUCUCAU